rnacentral:rRNA from 1 species
UGGACGACGCUGGCGGCGUGCUUAACACAUGCAAGUCGAGCGGUAAGGCUCCUUCGGGAGUACACGAGCGGCGAACGGGUGAGUAACACGUGAGUAACCUGCCCCUUUCAUCGGAAUAACCAGUGGAAACGCUGGCUAAUGCCGAAUACGACCACCGAAGGCAUCUUCUGGUGGUGGAAAGCUCCGGCGGAAAGGGAUGGACUCGCGGCCUAUCAGCUUGUUGGUGAGGUAAUGGCUCACCAAGGCAACGACGGGUAGCCGGCCUGAGAGGGUGACCGGCCACACUGGGACUGAGACACGGCCCAGACUCCUACGGGAGGCAGCAGUGGGGAAUAUUGGACAAUGGGCGAAAGCCUGAUCCAGCAACGCCGCGUGAGGGAUGACGGCCUUCGGGUUGUAAACCUCUUUCAGUAGGGACGAAGCGAAAGUGACGGUACCUACAGAAGAAGGACCGGCCAACUACGUG